rnacentral:sRNA from 2 species
UAUUAUGCUUAGCUGAAUUUCCUAAAGGAAAACGGGGGAACCACUUUGGGGGUGAAUCGCCAACUGGCGUAGAGCAGUUUUCAGCUCGAAUCCGACAGCUAACCUCGUAAGCGUUGAAACACGUUAGC